UAUGGCCAUAUCAUGUUGAAACACUGGUUCUCAUCCAAUCACUUAAGUUAACCAACAUUAAGACUGGUCAGUACCUAGAUAGGUGACCACUUGGAAAUAUCAGGUGCUGUAAG